AUUGAACGCUGGCGGCAGGCCUAACACAUGCAAGUCGAGCGGAGCGGCGGCCGGGGAAGUGAUGCCUAGGAAUCUGCCUGUGAGUGGGGGAUGACGUCCGGAACCGGGCGCUAAUACCGCAUACUAUCAGAUGAGCCUCGGUCGGAUUCGCAAGUUGGAGGGGUAAAGGCUUACCAAGGCGACGAUCCGUAACUGGUCUGAGAGGAGGAUCAGUCACACUGGAACUGAGACACGGUCCAGACUCCUACGGGAGGCAGCAGUGGGGAAUUUUGGACAAUGGGCGAAAGCCUGAUCCAGCCAUGCCGCGUGUGUGAAGAAGGUCUUCGGAUUGUAAAGUACUUUAAGUUGGGAGGCGGUACCAGCAGAAUAAGCACCGGCUAACUACGUGCCAGCAGCCGCGGUAAUUC
rnacentral:rRNA from 1 species